GACGCUGGCGGCGUGCCUAACACAUGCAGGUCGAGCGGGGACAUACGACGGAACCAAAGUUUCGGAUGGAGGUGAAGAUGUAUGUUCUAGCGGCGGACGGGUGAGUAACGCGUGAGCAACCUGUCCCUUACAGGGGGAUAACACAGCGAAAGUUGUACUAAUACCGCAUGAGACCACGGGGAGACAUCUUUCUGAGGUCAAAGGAGCAAUCCGGUAAGGGGUGGGCUCGCGUCCGAUUAGAUAGUUGGUGAGGUAACGGCCCACCAAGUCGACGAUCGGUAGCCGACCUGAGAGGGUGAUCGGCCACAUUGGGACUGAGACACGGCCCAAACUCCUACGGGAGGCAGCAGUGGGGAAUAUUGGGCAAUGGGGGGAACCCUGAACCCCCAGCAACGCCGCGUGAGGGAAGAAGGUUUUCGGAUCGUAAACCUCUGUCCUUGGUGAAGAGUGAGAGACGGUAGCCAAGGAGGGAGCCCCGGCUAACUACGUGCCAGCAGCUGC
rnacentral:rRNA from 1 species